rfam:Xiphophorus maculatus strain JP 163 A Contig433.12, whole genome shotgun sequence.
ACAAAGGCCCUUUUUAGGGCCACACAAAUAUAACUUGAAGCAGAA